GGGACAGCGGGGAACGGGCGGCGCUGGGGACCGGCCGUGAGGGGUGACCGUGCAUUUCUUGGCACAGGCCCCUGAGGUCACUGUGACUGUCCUGCUCUGAAUCACAUCGUCCUGUGCCAGGAGCACCUUCCUUCUCCAUUGCUGCCAGUCCUGGUUCUGAGUCCAGUUCUGCACUUAGGAAGAACUGCAGAGCUUAGAGGUACCCAGGAGCCCAGGGAGCCCAUUUCUCCAAGAUGGCAAGCACCAGCCUCAGGUGGGCCACAGCUUUUCCUCAUGCACAUCCAAGAACCCUUUGGGAAUGCCAAGGAGCAGUGAGUGCUCUGCUGGGCUGUGCCCCUCAGGCUGCAGGACACAACUUGCCACCCUCAUUUCCUGCUUGUUUCUCCAGUACCACUCAUCACUUGAUUUAGUAUUUGCUGUCACUGACAUUGCCCUUCAGGAGCUGAGGGGCUACAAGAUAAAUCUGCCCAUUAAAAUCCUGACUGACAAAACCCAGUAAGGACUGCCUUUGGAAUAUUCCCCUCUCCCCCAGCCCCACUGCUGGUUUAGCAUGCUCACGUGCACAUCCAGUACCUGCUUCUCUCUUGCAAUUUCCUCCUGAAUCAGAGUAACAGCAUCACCUUUAAAGGAAAAAACCAAACAAGGCAGAAUGUGACUUGUGCCAUGGCUCAGAAAUAAUGUCACAGGCUCUGGGGGCACAGACACUGGAGUGGCUCUCGCUUUACCUGAGGGGCUCAUUACAGGUAAAGGCUGCUCGUUGUUUUCCUUGAGUUUUUGCUCCAAGUCCUUCACCUUUUCCUCAAGUUUCAGUUUGUCAGACUCCAGUGACUUCACCACUGACUGCAGGGUUUUUGCAGAAGCGUUUUCUCCGCGGAGCACCGUGAUCUGCAAGAGUUGUGUGACAACACUUGGACCUUCCAGCACCAAGGCCAGGGCCCUGGAAGCAAGGGCUGAACAGCCACCAAAACCACGUGCCAGAGUCACCCGGCUCAGCAGAGGGACCUGAAGAUUUGAUGCUAAGGUUUAACCAUGCCACAUGAAAGAAAAAUGAUCAGCCAGCUCUUCAGGAGCCAGCACACAAAGCCUCUGGCUGCAAUUUAACUGAAAUUAGCAAUCAUCCAUUCCUCAUUUACCUCAUGCCUGAGUUUUUCCAGUUCCUCAUCUUUUUGUGUGAUCAAGGCACUAGUAACAUUGAUGGAUUUCUGUAAAGAUGCUCUCUCUUCAUCAAUUUCUUUUUUUAAAGUUGAUUCUCUAAAAGAAAACCAAGUAAAACCAGAAGUCAUUUAAUGAAUGGGUAACUGUAGUGGCCUAAAGUAGUUUCAUUUAAUUUCAAGUAUUAAACUACUGUAAGAAGUGGUUCUUAAAAAACAAAUUACAAUUUACUACUUGACUAAGGUUUUAUAUAUGUACAAGCAUUUCAGGUGUUACAACUGUGGAAACAAAGCAAAAACUUUACCUAGGUGGUACAUGCCAGAAUCUGCAAAGCACCGUUUCCAUUUGAAUUUAAAGGAGCAAGUUAACAGACUGGGGAGAUACAGGAUAAACAAACAUGUUGCACAAUGUUCCACAAAACCUAACUUGAGAGUUUUGUUACUUCUUGAAAAUUACUAACAAGCAACAAAACAGGCAUGCAAAGCUCAUUGUACAAGUUGUCAUGCAAAGCAUGGAUGAGGCUGGAAAUAUCAGCUGGUCCUCACUAAUUUCAGUGACAUCAUCAUUUCCUGCACCACAUGGGAUUUGUUUUACUUCAUGGGAGAAGAGUUAAAAAGAAAUCCUCCAAAGCAGGCACAACUCUCUCCUGUGUACAUAGAUCCAGUUUUCCCAGUAUUUUCUGUGGAUGUAACAGAGAUACAACUCCUGCCUACAGCUCCUGCCUUGGGGCACCACUGCUGUGACACCCUCACACUGCUGCAAGCUGAUCUUCCUGACAGUCACAGAACACACAGUGAGUGACUGUCCUCUGGUGGGAGGAGCAUUGCUACAACUUCCCUUACAAGCUGAAAAAUUUUGGUUAAAAAAGGAAACAGAAAAGUGACUUCAAACCAUUUACUUUUCUCCAAGAGGAACUGGCUCCUCAGUGCAGGCAGCAGUGCUGCUAUCAGCUCUGAGCUCCUGCAGGGACUCUGAACUGCUCCACACUCCCCUGCACUGCUGGGGGAUCAGGAGCAGAGCCCACCCACGUGGGAGGAUGCUCAGGGGGCAGCUAUCGAGCUCAAAUGGCAAAGUUUCCAUCUCUGUGGUACCUACAGUUAGUGAGAGCCACGAUACCCAGACCAUGAAACACAGGAAAUCUCACCCACUCCAGAGAAACUCAACAAUGAGAGCACAAUCAAUGCAAUUCUUUCAUUGUUCAGAUUGUACUCGGGAAUGGAAGCAGCAAGUGGAGAAUCUGGGGUUCAGAAAAGCUGAGGCAGCUACCAAACAAGAACCAAAACUUGAUUUGGUUUUGGUAUAUUUUCACAAUGAGAGAAUCAACAGAAGUGGAAACACAACAAGCUGCAGACUGUGUGAUCUUGCCUUCAAAUACAAGUUACAGUCUUGUUAAUAAAACCCAAAAGGACACAGGCAUGGAAAGUCCCCCUGGCCAGCCCCGAGCCAGCAAAGCACUCAAAGCUCCACAGCCACCCCCGUGCCCCCCAGGGCUCCCCAGGCUCUGCCUCUCCUGUGCUUUGGACCAAAGGCACGUGCUGGUGUGGGAAAGGAUGUGCCACAGUGCACGGGGUGCUGCUGACAGAGCAGAGCUGCAGAUCCAGGAUCUGCUGGGAGGCAAACCCUGAGGACACCUGGGAAUCACAGCUGGGAGCUGCUGCUCACCAGCCCCGCUGCACUGCGCUGCCGUGCUGUGCCCGCAGCUGGGGAAGGGCAGAUGGAACAGUGACUCAGCCCACGCUAGGAGCUGUGAUCCACUCGGUCAGAUCUUCAUGGAGAGAUCAGGACCAAACAGAUGCUUUUGGCACAAAUAUGGUGGGUUUGCCUUUUGUCGGGCUUGGCUUCAACCAGCACAACGCUGAGGUGGUUGAAAAGGCAAACGGGUUGUAAGGAUAGAAAUAAAAUAUUUACAGACUCAGUACAGGAGCCUCGAGUGCUAAAACACAAGGGGAGAGAAAGGAGAGAAGAAAAGAGGACAGAAAACAAGAGGGGAAGAAGGUCCCUGUGCUGGAGCUUUGGGGUUUCUUUCCCUGGACAGUCUCUCCAGGAGCUGCUCCCAGAAAUGCUGGAGCUGGAGAAGCCAGAGCCAAGGAAGGAGCUGCUCCUCGGUGUGGAUCACACACAGGGAAUGGGAAAUAACUGCACUGGGAGAGCCUGCAAGGAAAAUCUUGUGGAAACUAUUUAUUUUAUGUGGAAAAAAAAAGAUUUAGUGAACUUAAACUCUCUUCCUGCCAAUUCAAGUUCAAAACAUCUGCUUACCAGCAGGGGGGAAAUCAAAACAAUAAAAAUGACUUUUUCAUUUAAA